UACGAAGGGGCUAGCGUUGUUCGGAAUCACUGGGCGUAAAGCGCACGUAGGCGGCUUUUUAAGUCAGGGGUGAAAUCCUGGAGCUCAACUCCAGAACUGCCUUUGAUACUGGGAGCUUUGAGUCCGGAAGAGGUGAGUGGAACUCCGAGUGUAGAGGUGAAAUUCGUAGAUAUUCGGAAAGAACACCAGUGGCGAAGGCGGCUCACUGGUCCGGUACUGACGCUGAGGUGCGAAAAGCGUGGGGGAGCAAACAGGG
rnacentral:rRNA from 1 species